CCUACGGGGGGCUGCAGUGAGGAAUAUUGGUCAAUGGCCGUAAGGCUGAACCAGCCAAGUAGCGUGAGGGAAGACUGCCCUAUGGGUUGUAAACCUCUUUUAUGCGGGGAUAAAGGUGUCCACGUGUGGAUGUUUGCAGGUACCGCAUGAAUAAGGACCGGCUAAUUCCGUGCCAGCAGCCGCGGUAAUACGGAAGGUCCGGGCGUUAUCCGGAUUUAUUGGGUUUAAAGGGAGCGUAGGCCGGUCUUUAAGCGUGCCGGGAAAUUUUGUGGCUCAACCAUGAGAGUGCGGCGCGAACUGGAGACCUUGAGUGCGCGGAAGGCAGGCGGAAUUCGUGGUGUAGCGGUGAAAUGCUUAGAUAUCACGAAGAACCCCGAUUGCGAAGGCAGCCUGCCGCAGCGUUACUGACGCUGAAGCUCGAAAGCGCGGGUAUCGAACAGGAUUAGAUACCCGAGUAGUC
rnacentral:rRNA from 1 species